rnacentral:rRNA from 1 species
AGAGUUUGAUCCUGGCUCAGGAUGAACGCUGGCGGCGUGCCUAACACAUGCAAGUCGAGCGAAGCGGUUUUAAGGAAGUUUUCGGAUGGAAUUAAGACUGACUGAGCGGCGGACGGGUGAGUAACGCGUGGGUAACCUGCCUCAUACAGGGGGAUAACAGUUGGAAACGGCUGCUAAUACCGCAUAAGCGCACAGUACCGCAUGGUACCGUGUGAAAAACUCCGGUGGUAUGAGAUGGACCCGCGUCUGAUUAGCUAGUUGGUGGGGUAACGGCCCACCAAGGCGACGAUCAGUAGCCGGCCUGAGAGGGUGAACGGCCACAUUGGGACUGAGACACGGCCCAAACUCCUACGGGAGGCAGCAGUGGGGAAUAUUGCACAAUGGGGGAAACCCUGAUGCAGCAACGCCGCGUGAGUGAAGAAGUAUUUCGGUAUGUAAAGCUCUAUCAGCAGGGAAGAAAAUGACGGUACCUGACUAAGAAGCCCCGGCUAACUACGUGCCAGCAGCCGCGGUAAUACGUAGGGGGCAAGCGUUAUCCGGAUUUACUGGGUGUAAAGGGAGCGUAGACGGUGUGGCAAGUCUGAUGUGAAAGGCAUGGGCUCAACCUGUGGACUGCAUUGGAAACUGUCAUACUUGAGUGCCGGAGGGGUAAGCGGAAUUCCUAGUGUAGCGGUGAAAUGCGUAGAUAUUAGGAGGAACACCAGUGGCGAAGGCGGCUUACUGGACGGUAACUGACGUUGAGGCUCGAAAGCGUGGGGAGCAAACAGGAUUAGAUACCCUGGUAGUCCACGCCGUAAACG